rnacentral:misc_RNA from 1 species
AGAGAGAGAGAGAGAGUAUUUUGUUUUUCUAAUGAAGAGGCUUGUUUUAUUUUUCAAGAAAGAUAAGUUUUGACGCGUUUACCUAGCUAAAAAUUCAUUAAACUUAUCAAACUAAUUUGUAAUUGAUGUAUUCUUUCGUCGAGAGAUAUAUAUUUAUAUCAUCAAAUGUUAUUCAUAAAUGAAGGAUGAUUUGUCAUGUUGCA